GAUGAACGCUGGCGGCGUGCUUAACACAUGCAAGUCGAACGGAAAGGCCCCGCCUUUCUGGGGUGCUCGAGUGGCGAACGGGUGAGUAACACGUGGGUAAUCUGCCCUUCACUUCGGGAUAACCUUGGGAAACUGGGGCUAAUACCGGAUAGGACGUUCUGUUGGAUGCCGGUGGUUAGAGUGUUUCGGUGUGGGAUGAUCUCGCGGCUUAUCAGCUUGUUGGUGGGGUAGUGGCCUACCAAGGCGUCGACGGGUAGCCGGCCUGAGAGGGUGUACGGCCACAUUGGGACUGAGAUACGGCCCAGACUCCUACGGGAGGCAGCAGUGGGGAAUAUUGCACAAUGGGCGGAAGCCUGAUGCAGCGACGCCGCGUGCGGGAUGACGGCCUUCGGGUUGUAAACCGCUUUCGCUAGGGACGAAGCGUGAGUGACGGUAAUUGGUGAAGAAGCACCGGCUAACUACGUG
rnacentral:rRNA from 1 species